rnacentral:lncRNA from 1 species
GGCAAGUUUGUGGUCUUCCAGCAAAGUCCAGUUCGCCUGCCUGUAUUAAGUUCCUCUGUAUGAGCUCUUGGAGGUACUCUUCUCCAAUAUCUUCGACUUGUUUGUCAUUCUCUCUCCCUACAAAACCUUCGGCUAUCCACAAUCUAAUCAAUGUUCUUCGCUUCACCAAGUAACACUCUGGAAACAUACUCAUGUACAGAAAGCAGCACUUUAGACGGUCCGGCAAAUCAUCAUAACUCAACAGCAAUGCCCUUCUAAUGCUUGACAGUUGGCCUGAAGCGAGCUCUGUGCGUAGAGUAUCAUGUACUUUUCUAAACUCAGAUUCACUUUUCUCUUUGGCGUACAAAAGUUUUCCAAUUUCAAUGAUCCCAAUUGGCAGCCCUUCACAUUUUCUCAAGAGGUUUUCAAACCACAAACACUGUCUUGGUUCUGAAGGAAGCGCGCCACAUUUUCUUUGGAAGAGAUCUCGAGCCUUUUCCAAAGGCAAAGCUUGGAUGUUGUAGACUUCGACAAAGUUUUCUCUACAGCUGGAAGAAGCUAUAUCGCCUCUUCUUGUAGUGAUUAUAACUCUGCUGCAAUUACCUCUAGGUAAUGCACACCUGACAUCAUUCCAAACUUUUGUAGUCCAUAGAUCAUCAAUAAUUAUAAGGUACCUUUUGUCGUGCAGAUAAUUUUUCAGCAUGUUGACAAGAUCCUCGAGGGCUUGAGAAGAAUUCACGGGAUACUGAGCUGCUUCAUUGCGUAAUUUAUUUGACAUGAUGGAGAGG